UAGGGCUUCACCACCCUCUUUAUUUCCAUUUCUUUCCCUUUUCUUUCCCGGCGCGCAGCCCUGCUCGCAGCACCCGGAGGCUCAGCAUUACUCAUCGCCUGCUUUCGUUUCGUCCCGAGGUGCCAGCACGGGUCGGGCUGUGCGUGCAGCCACCAGACUAGAAAGCAUUUUGUCCCCGGGUGGCGGAGCUGCCUCCGGAACAGGGAUGAGUCACUUGGCGACCCGGGGCCGCCGGGGACGGGAACAGGCUGUGACGCCAGCCUCGGUGACUCCAGACCUGGCGCCGAGCGGCAAUGAGAGUUCCGAGGACUUUUCUCGUCGAGAGCAGCUACAAAAUUGACGGAUAGGAUGGACUUUAACUCCGUCAGAGGAAACUUUAAAACAAACAAACCAACCAACCAAACCAAACAAGCCAGGAGCUGCAGGGCAAGGGGCACAGGACCAUGGUGAUGCUUCUGUCCAGCUGCAUCCUUCCAGGUCCCAUGGGUGACAUUAUGGAGACCAGACACCGUUCUCAUGUCUACGACAAGGCUGGGAGAAACCAAGGGAUGUUGCAUGAACUCUUCCCUCAUCC